rnacentral:rRNA from 1 species
UAGGGAAUCUUCGGCAAUGGGGGGAACCCUGACCGAGCAACGCCGCGUGAGUGAAGAAGGUUUUCGGAUCGUAAAGCUCUGUUGUUAAGGAAGAACGAGUGUGAGAAUGGAAAGUUCAUACUGUGACGGUACUUAACCAGAAAGGGACGGCUAACUACGUGCCAGCAGCCGCGGUAAUACGUAGGUCCCGAGCGUUGUCCGGAUUUAUUGGGCGUAAAGCGAGCGCAGGCGGUUAGAUAAGUCUGAAGUUAAAGGCAGUGGCUCAACCAUUGUAGGCUUUGGAAACUGUUUAACUUGAGUGCAGAAGGGGAGAGUGGAAUUCCAUGUGUAGCGGUGAAAUGCGUAGAUAUCGGGAAGAACACCAAUGGCGAAGGCAGGUCUCUGGGCUGUUACUGACGCUGAGAAGCGAAAGCGUGGGGAGCGAACAGG